AAAUGAAUUGACGGGGGCCCGCACAAGCGGUGGAGCAUGUGGUUUAAUUCGAUGAUACGCGAGGAACCUUACCUGGGCUUAAAUGCUUUUUGACAGGCUGAGAAAUCAGUUUUUCUUCGGACAGAAUGCAAGGUGCUGCAUGGCUGUCGUCAGCUCGUGCUGUGAGGUGUCGGGUUAAGUCCCAUAACGAGCGCAACCCCUAUUUCUAGUUGCCAGCACAUAAUGGUGGGGACUCUAGAGAAACUGCCCGCGUAAGCGGUGAGGAAGGAGGGGACGACGUCAAGUCAUCACGGCCCUUAUGUCCAGGGCUACACACGUGCUACAAUGGUAGAGACAAAGGGCAGCCACUCCGCGAGGAGGCGCUAAUCCAUAAACUCUAUCUCAGUUCGGAUUGAAGUCUGCAACUCGACUUCAUGAAGCUGGAAUCGCUAGUAAUCGUAGAUCAGCAAUGCUACGGUGAAUACGUUCCCGGGCCUUGUACACACCGCCCGU
rnacentral:rRNA from 1 species